rnacentral:lncRNA from 1 species
GACCUUCGCGACCGCUGCAGGGACAGGGAAUGCGAGAGUCGUUUGCGCAGCGUCGGUAGCCCUGAGCCUGGCAGCAAUCAACGCGCAGAAACGCCCCUGCGCAGAGCUCCCUGCACGUGUGCCUGCUGCCCAGGUUCCAGAUGCACCAGCCUUGGAGCGCUGGCACUAGACUGGGGACAAGGCAGUCCUCUGACUACGUUACCCCUGGGACAGGGAACAGCACAACCCUUCCCAGAUGAAAGAGACAGAGCUGGUCUCCCUGCGGCUCGGCACCCAGACCAGGGAGCAAGGCUCUCUGCAGGCCUGUGACUGGGAGAUAGCGAUCCGAAGCCCCGGCAAGGACUCUAGGGAGGUUUGCGCCGGUGAGAAAAGAAGCUAAGUAGGAGAAUAGGGGGCCUAGGAAUCCCAGCAGCAUUUCUUGCGCCCAAGGGCUCCUGCAUUGAGAAUUGGUAGACUGCAAGGAGAGUCUCCACGACCCCAAGACCGGACCGGGACAGCUGCCUGAGAGUUACAGUUGAACCUGUCCAUCAUCACCAACCCUCUCCUCAGUACUAGGUCUCCGGAAGUUCUAACUUGACCUUCUGCGACAGAGGAAGAAGGGUGCUUCUGAUCAGAUCCCGGAAUGGUGAAGAUGCUGAGAAGAACCGAGGUGGAGGUUGGGGUCUCCCUCACAAGAGGGACUUAGCAUGUAGCUUGACAGCCUGCCUUCUUCCUCCAGGCUGGAGUGGCAAUACCACGCAGGAUUUGCCGAUUCUCCUUGCUGCUCACAGGCGACCCCUUACGUUUCCAAAGAGAACUCACCACCUUUUCCAUUCCCAGGCCACAUUACUGAAGAUACCUAAUCCCUCUCGGUCACCCUAAUCAAUAAUCAAUAUCCAAUCGUUCUUCACACCCAAAAUGGCUCCGUAUUGCGUCCCUCCCCCUUUUCUCUGGUUUCAAGAGAAAAUAAACCCUUGCUCUUCACUUAGC